rnacentral:rRNA from 1 species
AUUGAACGCUGGCGGCAGGCCUAACACAUGCAAGUCGAGCGGAUGAAGGGAGCUUGCUCCUGGAUUCAGCGGCGGACGGGUGAGUAAUGCCUAGGAAUCUGCCUGGUAGUGGGGGAUAACGUCCGGAAACGGGCGCUAAUACCGCAUACGUCCUGAGGGAGAAAGUGGGGGAUCUUCGGACCUCACGCUAUCAGAUGAGCCUAGGUCGGAUUAGCUAGUUGGUGGGGUAAAGGCCUACCAAGGCGACGAUCCGUAACUGGUCUGAGAGGAUGAUCAGUCACACUGGAACUGAGACACGGUCCAGACUCCUACGGGAGGCAGCAGUGGGGAAUAUUGGACAAUGGGCGAAAGCCUGAUCCAGCCAUGCCGCGUGUGUGAAGAAGGUCUUCGGAUUGUAAAGCACUUUAAGUUGGGAGGAAGGGCAGUAAGUUAAUACCUUGCUGUUUUGACGUUACCAACAGAAUAAGCACCGGCGAACGUCGUGC